rnacentral:tRNA from 1 species
GCCUGGCUGGCUUAGUUGGUAGAGCAUGAGACUUUUCAUCUUAGGAUUGUGAGUUCUAGCCCCAUACUGGGUA